rnacentral:rRNA from 1 species
GAUGAACGCUAGCGAUAGGCUUAACACAUGCAAGUCGAGGGGCAGCAUGGUCUUAGCUUGCUAAGACUGAUGGCGACCGGCGCACGGGUGCGUAACGCGUAUGCAACUUGCCUCACAGAGGGGGAUAACCCGUCGAAAGACGGACUAAUACCGCGUACACUUGGGAUAGGGCAUCCUGACCCAAGGAAAUGAAAUUCGCUGUGAGAUAGGCAUGCGUCCCAUUAGCUAGUUGGUGAGGUAACGGCUCACCAAGGCGACGAUGGGUAGGGGAACUGAGAGGUUGAACCCCCACACUGGUACUGAGACACGGACCAGACUCCUACGGGAGGCAGCAGUGAGGAAGAUUGGUCAAUGGGCGAGAGCCUGAACCAGCCAAGUCGCGUGAAGGAUGACUGUCUUAUGGAUUGUAAACUUCUUUUAUACGGGAAUAACAAGAGCCACGUGUGGCUCCCUGCAUGUACCGUAUGAAUAAGCAUCGGCUAACUCCGUG